GAUGAACGCUGGCGGCGUGCCUAAUACAUGCCAGUCGAGCGAACAGAUGAGGAGCUUGCUCCUCUGACGUUAGCGGCGGACGGGUGAGUAACACGUGGAUAACCUACCUAUAAGACUGGGAUAACUUCGGGAAACCGGAGCUAAUACCGGAUAAUAUAUUGAACCGCAUGGUUCAAUAGUGAAAGACGGUUUUGCUGUCACUUAUAGAUGGAUCCGCGCCGCAUUAGCUAGUUGGUAAGGUAACGGCUUACCAAGGCAACGAUGCGUAGCCGACCUGAGAGGGUGAUCGGCCACACUGGAACUGAGACACGGUCCAGACUCCUACGGGAGGCAGCAGUAGGGAAUCUUCCGCAAUGUGCGAAAGCCUGACGGAGCAACGCCGCGUGAGUGAUGAAGGUCUUCGGAUCGUAAAACUCUGUUAUUUGGGAAGAACAAAUGUGUAAGUAACUAUGCACGUCUUGACGGUACCUAAUCAGAAAGCCACGGCUAACUACGUG
rnacentral:rRNA from 1 species